rnacentral:rRNA from 1 species
CGCACUAGUCACUUUGUCUUUAUGGCAAAUGUGAGAUGCAGUGUAUGGAAUGUCAAAUUUCUAGUAUGAGAAAUUAACGAUUUAAGUCCUUCUUAAAUGAGGCCAUUUACCCAUAGAGGGUGCCAGGCCCGUAUAACGUUAAUGAUUACUAGAUGGCAUUUCCAAAGAGUCGUGUUGCUUGAUAGUGCAGCACUAAGUGGGUGGUAAACUCCAUCUAAAACUAAAUAUAACCAUGAGACCGAUAGUAAACAAGUACCGUGAGGGAAAGUUGAAAAGAACUCUGAAUAGAGAGUUAAAUAGUACGUGAAACUGCUUAGAGGUUAAGCCCGAUGAACCUGAAUAUCCAUUAUAGAAAAUUCAUCAUUAUGAUUUUAAUAUUUAUAAUAUUAUAAUAAUGGUGUGCAUUUUUUCUAUAAAGGACAUUGUAAUCUAUUAAUAUGUGGCAAAUUUAUCAUAAGAUCAAUGAUGCGUAAGUUUAUUCAAAUUAUUUUGCUUGCAAUUUAACAUAGAAUAAAUGCUCUUGAUUUGAUAAAGUGUUGAUAGAUUUAUUGUAUAUAGUGCUUAAAUAUGUAUAUUUUAUAAUAGCAUAUUAAUCAUUGAUUUUUAUGUUUAUUAUAUGCACUUAUAUGAUUAACAAUGCGAAAGAUUCAGGAUACCUUCGGGACCCGUCUUGAAACACGGACCAAGGAGUCUAACAUAUUUGCAAGUUAUUGGGUAUCAAAACCUAAUAGCGAAAUUAACAUAACUUAAUGGGAUUAGUUUUUAGAUUAUUUAUAGUCUAUUAAUUCAAUCCCGGGGCGUUCUAUAUAGUUAUGUAUAAUAAUAUUUAUAUUAUUUAUACCUCUAACUAGAGCGUACCUUGAGCAUAUAUGCUGUGACCCGAAAGAUGGUGAACUAUACUUGAUCAGGUUGAAGUCAGGGGAAACCCUGAUGGAAGACCGAAACAGUUCUGACGUGCAAAUCGAUUGUCAGAAUUGAGUAUAGGGGCGAAAGACCAAUCGAACCAUCUAGUAGCUGGUUCCCUCCGAAGUUUCCCUCAGGAUAGCUGGUGCAUUUAAAAAUUAUGUAAAAUAAUCUUAUCUGGUAAAGCGAAUGAUUAGAGGCCUUAGGGUCGAAACGACCUUAACCUAUUCUCAAACUUUAAAUGGGUAAGAACCUCACCUUUCUUGGUAUGAAGGUUGAGGUUGUGAUAUAAUGUGCCCAGUGGGCCACUUUUGGUAAGCAGAACUGGCGCUGUGGGAUGAACCAAACGUAAUGUUACGGUGCCAAAAUUAACAACUCAUGCAGAUACCAUGAAAGGCGUUGGUUGCUUAAAA